GCGAUGAUGGUGUAAUGGUCAGCAUAGUUGCCUUCCAAGCAGUUGAUCCGGGUUCGAUUCCCGGUCAUCGCA
rfam:Dendroctonus ponderosae Seq01031988, whole genome shotgun sequence.